AAAUGCGAUAAGUAAUGUGCAUUGCAGAAUUCAGUGAAUCAUCGAAUCUUUGAACGCACAUUGCGCCCGCCAGUAUUCUGGCGGGCAUGCCUGUUCGAGCGUCAUUUCAACCAUCAAGCCCCGGGCUUGUGUUGGGGACCUGCGGCUGCCGCAGGCCCUGAAAAGCAGUGGCGGGCUCGCUGUCACACCGAGCGUAGUAGCAUACAUCUCGCUCUGGGCGUGCUGCGGGUUCCGGCCGUUAAACCACCUUCGUAACCCAAGGUUGACCUCGGAUCAGGUAGGAAGACCCGCUGAACUUAAGC
rnacentral:misc_RNA from 1 species